UCAAUUGACCACUUUGUCUGUGACAUGUACCCAUUAUUGGAACUGGCGUUCACUGAUACCUACUUUAUAGGCCUCACUGUUGUUGUCAAUGGUGGAGCAAUGUGUAUGGUCAUCUUCACCAUUCUACUAAUAUCCUACGGAAUCAUCCUAAACUCUCUUAAAACUUAUAGUCAGGAAGGGAGGUGUAAAGCCCUGUCUACCUGCAGCCCCCACAUAACCGUGGUUGUCCUCUUUUUUGUUCCCUGUAUUUUCAUAUAUGUUAGACCUGUUUCAACCUUUCCUAUUGAUAAAUUCAUGACUGUGUUUUAUACAGUUAUCACACCCAUGUUGAAUCCUUUAAUAUACACGUUGAGAAAUUCAGAGAUGAGAAACUCUAUAGAAAAUCUCUUGUGUAAAAAAGCUAUCUGUAGU
rnacentral:lncRNA from 10 species